CUGAAACUGCAGAACUUGAGUACUGGAGAGGAUAGUGGAAUUCCUAGUGUAACGGUAAAAUGCGUAAAUAUUAAGAGGAACACCAAUGGCCAAAGCUACUAUCUGGACAGUAACUGACGCUGAGGCGCGGAGGCAUGGGGACCAGACAGGAUUCCAUACUCUGCUAGUCCACACCGUAAAAAAUGAAUACGAAGUGUGGAGCGUCUCCCCCUCCUCCCCCCGCCUCACCCAACAAGUAUUUCACCCGAGGAAGUACCAGCCCCCAAGGGUUGAAACUUAAAAGGAAUUGGACCGGGGGCCCCGCCCAAGCCGUGGAUUAUGUUGUUUUAAUUUCGAAUCAACGCAAAAGAAACUUAACCAGGGACUUGACAUCCUCUGAACGGCCAUAAAAAUAUGGUUUCCCUUCAGGAGCAAGAGAAAACAAGGUGGGUGCAUGGUUUGUCGUCAGCUCGAUGUCGUGAGAUGAUAGGUUAAGGUCCCGGCAACGAACCGCAAC
rnacentral:rRNA from 1 species